GUCUAUCCAUUUUGUGCAUCACAAUAUGAGAAACAUGCUUUCAACAAAUAAAUGCUUACUGGGAAGUAUUUUUAUUAAUACUAUUUUACUUUUUCAGCACAAAGUCAAAACAAAGAUGAGAAGGACAAGGAACUUAAGGCAUUAAAAUGGAAGCGGAGGAAGCCUGACGGAAAGAAACAAAAACAAUCUGCUGCUGAGCAAGAAAAGAAACGAAUGAAGCAAAUAAAACGACCCUGGUCCAAAGAGGAAGUAAACGCUGUCAUGAGACACUUCAAGGACCAUAUAAUGAAGGGAAAACUUGCUUCCAUGAUAGAAUGUGGGCAGUGCAAAAAGGCAGAGAAUCCUGUUCUUGACAACCGUACCCUACAGAACAUCAGAGACUUUGUGAGAAAUCGUGGUAUUACCAUGAAAAACAAAAAGUAACCCAGCGAACAUUUCCAUAUGGCCCAUAUGAUUUACCUUUGGGCUGAAUAUCUGGGCCCCGGGUGGGUUUGUCCACGAGUUCCGUGGUGACCCCAUCUGUGUUUGCACACACUGGCUUAGAAGGAAACUCAGUGGUCUGAGUUCCCAACGCUAACCAGCUGCUCUGUGGAAAGCAUUGUGUGCCAACAACCUGCCUUACGGAUAGUGUAGCGAGUUAGCGAGCUACACUGUCUAGCGAGCCAGAUUACUCAGUGCCCAUUCAAGCUAGUGUGGGCAAACACAGAUGGGGCCACUGUGGAACCUGUGAACAAACCCACCUGGGGCUCAACAAUUCAGCCCAAAGGUAAGCCAUGUGGGGCUCACAUUCAAAUGUUUGCUAAAUGAAGAUUUUUGAUAUAUAGUAUAUAAAAGUAUGAAUAAGCAGUUAAGGCUUAAAUUUUGUUUUUUUGUUCAGUUGUCAAAAGGUUAUUUCUUUAUUUGCCUUUACAUUAGAAAGAAUAUAAUUUUGAAGUAAGGACUUAUGGCUAUGUAGUUUUUUUCUGAAAACUAUCUUUUACAUUAGACAGAACAUUAACAAUAAAUAAGCACUAGAUUCUUGAAUGUUUUUCCAUUUAAAACUGCAUAUUCUUGUCACCUUUUUGACAAGACUAAGUUUUUUUCAACAUUUUUGCUGUAUUUGCUUUUCAUUUCACAAAUAGAACUGUCAUAAGCAUUUAAAUGUACUUUUUUAUGUUUAUAAAAACAAUGAUUACAGUGAACUACACAGUAUAAAAGUUCAAUAAAAGGAUUUUUGGGUGGGAGGACCCAUCAAGGUCGUUGGGUCCUUUGAAGUCACGUUUUAGACAUGUUUGUGUGUUUGUAUACUGUGGACCUCAUAAAUACUCUUUUUGUCAGAGGCGGGGCUAAUGGAGCUCAUUAAAGUGUCCUGGUAAUGUUG